GGGACACGUGGUAUCCUGUCUGAAUAUGGGGGGACCAUCCUCCAAGGCUAAAUACUCCUGACUGACCGAUAGUGAACCAGUACCGUGAGGGAAAGGCGAAAAGAACCCCGGCGAGGGGAGUGAAAAAGAACCUGAAACCGUGUACGUACAAGCAGUGGGAGCCUCUUUUAUGGGGUGACUGCGUACCUUUUGUAUAAUGGGUCAGCGACUUAUAUUCUGUAGCAAGGUUAACCGAAUAGGGGAGCCGAAGGGAAACCGAGUCUUAACUGGGCGUUAAGUUGCAGGGUAUAGACCCGAAACCCGGUGAUCUAGCCAUGGGCAGGUUGAAGGUUGGGUAACACUAACUGGAGGACCGAACCGACUAAUGUUGAAAAAUUAGCGGAUGACUUGUGGCUGGGGGUGAAAGGCCAAUCAAACCGGGAGAUAGCUGGUUCUCCCCGAAAGCUAUUUAGGUAGCGCCUCGUGAAUUCAUCUCCGGGGGUAGAGCACUGUUUCGGCAAGGGGGUCAUCCCGACUUACCAACCCGAUGCAAACUGCGAAUACCGGAGAAUGUUAUCACGGGAGACACACGGCGGGUGCUAACGUCCGUCGUGAAGAGGGAAACAACCCAGACCGCCAGCUAAGGUCCCAAAGUCAUGGUUAAGUGGGAAACGAUGUGGGAAGGCCCAGACAGCCAGGAUGUUGGCUUAGAAGCAGCCAUCAUUUAAAGAAAGCGUAAUAGCUCACUGGUCGAGUCGGCCUGCGCGGAAGAUGUAACGGGGCUAAACCAUGCACCGAAGCUGCGGCAGCGACGCUGAUGCGUUGUU
rnacentral:rRNA from 1 species